GGGGUUAUAGCUCAAGGGUAGAGCACUCACCUGGCGUGUGUGAGGCCCUGGGUUCGAUCCUCAGCACCA
rnacentral:tRNA from 1 species